GUGAGGAAUUUUCCGCAAUGGGCGAAAGCCUGACGGAGCAAUGCCGCGUGAAGGAUGAAGGCCUUCGGGUUGUAAAGUUCUUUAGCCGAUGAUUAUAAUGACUGUAGUCGGAAAAUAAGCCCCGGCUAACUUCGUGCCAGCAGCCGCGGUAAUACGAAGGGGGCUAGCGUUGCUCGGAAUUACUGGGCGUAAAGGGCGCGUAGGCGGACAGCUUAGUCAGAGGUGAAAGCCCAGGGCUCAACCUUGGAAUUGCCUUUGAUACUGGCUGUCUUGAGUUUGGGAGAGGUGAGUGGAACUCCGAGUGUAGAGGUGAAAUUCGUAGAUAUUCGGAAGAACACCAGUGGCGAAGGCGACUCACUGGCCCAAUACUGACGCUGAGGCGCGAAAGCGUGGGGAGCAAACAGGAUUAGAAACCCCGGUAGUCC
rnacentral:rRNA from 1 species